UGAGUAACCUGCCUUUAACUCUGGGAUAGGCCUGGGAAACUGGGUCUAAUACCGGAUAUGACUCCUCAUCGCAUGGUGGGGGGUGGAAAGCUUUAUUGUGGUUUUGGAUGGACUCGCGGCCUAUCAGCUUGUUGGUGAGGUAAUGGCUCACCAAGGCGACGACGGGUAGCCGGCCUGAGAGGGUGACCGGCCACACUGGGACUGAGACACGGCCCAGACUCCUACGGGAGGCAG
rnacentral:rRNA from 1 species